UGGUGUGUCAGGUCGCCGUGCAUGUCCGUGUCUCCUCGGCGCAACAUUAAGGUAGGCAUCCCGUCCUAACUGCCGCCUUGUUACUUUUAUUUGGCCCUGGGGCUUCCUCCUCCCGCUCCGUUGCAGAGGCAUGGAGCGACGGUGAGCCGGAGGGGGCGAGCAGUUCGGUCGGAGCGCGUGCUUGGGUGCAGUAGAGCUCAGAGCGGGGCGCUGUAACCAGCGUCUCCCACUCUCCUAGUUCUGCACUUAUCCGUUUGGCGUCCUGGUGUGUAUCCGGUCAUCGGCCACCACGACGAGGUCUGCUGCUGUCCUGGCUCUGCUAAGUGUGGACGGAGAAGCUCCACUGUCUCGGGUCACUCCACGUGCCCACAGUUUCGGUCCUUUGUGGACGAGAUUCAGACAAAUUAAAGCCAAGUUUGGCUCGCCUGUCACCUGUCUUUUUAAUUAGUUUUUAUAAGUCAAUAUUAAUUUUAAAGAGUAAAUAUGUCGUUUGUUAAGCUUGUUUCUGUUUAGGGUUUGAUUAAUAAUAGUUUGGGUUAUUUUUCUCAUAGUAGGUUGAUAAUUAUAUUCUUUUGUUUAAUUUUUUAUUUGUUUCUAUUUAGUCUAAAUUGGGUUAUAUUAGGAUUGUGUUUCUUUUGUUAAUUUGUUUAGAGUUGUUGAUAUUUCUAUUCUGUUAAUUGUGUUUCUGUUUAGGGUUUGAUUAAUAAUUUUGUUAAAUAAAAUUAUUUACUGUGAAACCAUGA